UACGGGGGGAGCAAGCGUUGUUCGGAUUUACUGGGCGUAAAGGGCGCGUAGGCGGUCGUGACAAGUCACUUGUGAAAUCUCCGGGCUUAACUCGGAACGGUCAAGUGAUACUGUCGGACUAGAGUACAGAAGGGGCAACUGGAAUUCUCGGUGUAGCGGUGAAAUGCGUAGAUAUCGGAGAGGAACACCUGCGGCGAAGGCGGGUUGCUGGGCUGACACGUGACGCUGAGGCGCGAAAGCUAGGGGAGCGAACGGG
rnacentral:rRNA from 1 species